ACAGUGGACGCGAGCAUCUUUGUUGUAAGUAAUGAAGAGCGUACGGUGGAUGCCUUGGCACCAGGAGCCGAUGAAGGACGUAGGAGGCUGCGAUAAGCCUCGGGGAGCUGUCAACCGAGCUGUGAUCCGAGGAUGUCCGAAUGGGGAAACCCAGCACGAGUGAUGUCGUGUUACCCGCGCCUGAAUAUAUAGGGCGUGUGGAGGGAACGUGGGGAAGUGAAACAUCUCAGUACCCACAGGAAGAGAAAACAACCGUGAUUCCGUGAGUAGUGGCGAGCGAAAGCGGAAGAGGCUAAACCAUGGGUGUGUGAUAGCCGGCAGGUGUUGCAUUCGUGGGGUUGUGGGGUUCAUUUUGUCUGUUCUGCCGAGCAGGCCAACAGUAAGAAAUCACAGGGUUAGUGGAAGUGGUCUGGAACGGCCUGUCGUAGAGGGUGAGAAUCCCGUACACGAAAACUUUGUGACUGUUGUAAUGGAAACCCAAGUAGCACCGGGCCCGUGAAAUCUGGUGUGAAUCUGUCGGGACCACCCGAUAAGCCUGAAUACUCCCUGGUGACCGAUAGCGGACUAGUACCGUGAGGGAAAGGUGAAAAGUACCCCGGGAGGGGAGUGAAAUAGUACCUGAAACCGUGCGCUUACAAUCCGUCAGAGCCUUCGAGCAGUUUACUGCUGGGGGUGAUGGCGUGCCUUUUGAAGAAUGAGCCUGCGAGUUAGUGGCAUGUCGCGAGGUUAACCCGUGUGGGGUAGCCGUAGCGAAAGCGAGUCCGAAUAGGGCGAGUCAGUGGCAUGCUCUAGACCCGAAGCGGAGUGAUCUACCCAUGGCCAGGUUGAAGCGACGGUAAGACGUCGUGGAGGACCGAACCCACUUAGGUUGAAAACUGAGGGGAUGAGUUGUGGGUAGGGGUGAAAGGCCAAUCAAACUCCGUGAUAGCUGGUUCUCCCCGAAAUGCAUUUAGGUGCAGCGUCGCGUGUUUCUCACCGGAGGUAGAGCUACUGGAUGGUCUAGGGGGCCCACAAGCUUACCGAAAUCAGCCAAACUCCGAAUGCCGGUGAGUGAGAGCGCGGCAGUGAGACUGCGGGCGAUAAGGUUCGUAGUCGAGAGGGAAACAGCCCAGAUCGCCAGCUAAGGUCCCUAAGCGUGUACUAAGUGGAAAAGGAUGUGGGGUCGCGAAGACAACCAGGAGGUUGGCUUAGAAGCAGCCACCCUUGAAAGAGUGCGUAAUAGCUCACUGGUCAAGUGAUCCUGCGCCGACAAUGUAGCGGGGCUCAAGUACACCACCGAAGCUGCGGCAUUCACGCAAUAGCCCCC
rnacentral:rRNA from 1 species